UGACGGACCGAUGAGGACUUGACAAAAUGGCUGCCUCCUGAUCUGUCUGUGGAUGUGUGGCUCCAGGAGAGUCCCGAAGACAGCUGAAUGGAUCCAUCUAUACAAAACAACCUUCGCUGACCUUUGUUCAUCUGCCUAUAUUUGUUGGAUUUAAAGCUGAUUUAAAAAAAUUUUUUUUUACUGUUCCCAUUUAUUUGUACUUUAAAAAUGAAAAGCUUUAUUAACACAUGUAAAAGGACUAGACCCAUGUUUCAGUUGUCUAGCCCCGCCCCUCUAAUACACUGGUAGAAUUAGGUUGUGUCUAGCCCCGCCCCUCUCAUAAACUGGUGAAAUUAGGUUGUGUCUAGCCCUGCCCCUCUAAUAAACUGGUAGAAUUAGGUUGUGUCUAGCCCCGCCCCUCUAAUAAACUGGUGAAAUUAGGUUGUUGUAUCUAGCCCCGCCCCUCUAAUAAACUGGUAGAAUUAGGUUGCAUCUAGCCCUGCCCCUCUAAUAAACUGGUAGAAUUAGGUUGUGUCUAGCCCCGCCCCUCUAAUAAACUGGUGAAAUUAGGUUGUGUCUAGCCCUGCCCCUCUAAUAAACUGGUAGAAUUAGGUUGUGUCUAGCCCCGCCCCUCUAAUAAACUGGUGAAAUUAGGUUGUGUCUAGCCCCGCCCCUCUAAUAAACUGGUGAAAUUAGGUUGCAUCUAGCCCUGCCCCUCUAAUAAACUGGUAGAAUUAGGUUGCAUCUAGCCCUGCCCCUCUAAUAAACUGGUGAAAUUAGGUUGCAUCUAGCCCUGCCCCUCUAAUAAACUGGUAGAAUUAGGUUGUGUCUAGCCCCGCCCCUCUAAUAAACUGGUGAAAUUAGGUUGUUGUAUCUAGCCCCGCCCCUCUCAUAAACUGGUGAAAUUAGGUUGCAUCUAGCCCUGCCCCUCUAAUAAACUGGUGAAAUUAGGUUAUUGUAUCUAGCCCCCGCCCCUCUUAUUGCAUCACUCUUCUCAGACCAAUUGAAAAGGAAUACGUUUUUUUCUGUAAUGACAUGACUAUUGAUUUGUCUAAAGAGUCGAAUAAAGACUAAAGACAAAAAUCAAAUUUGUUGCGGUAAUGCAUUUUCCAAUAAUCAAUAAAGACAUGUUAAUGACCAGAGAUCCUGCUCCAGCAGGUGAAUUGAUGUCAGAGCGGAGAAUUACGGUUUCCACGUCCCUCCUCCUGUGAUGAGAUGCAGUACUAUGGGACCCACUACUUCACAUGGGUCGCUCACCAGCAGUUGACAGAGCAUAAAGACAGGAAACUCUCAGGACCCUGUUUCUCUGUUUCUCUCUCUCUGUUUCUCUGUUUCUCUCUCUCUCUGUUUCUCUCUCUCUCUCUGUCUCUCUCUCUCUCUCUGUUUCUCUCUCUCUCUCUGUUUCUCUCUCUCUCUCUGUUUCUCUCUCUCUCUCUGUUUCUCUCUCUCUCUGUUUCUCUCUCUCUCUGUUUCUCUCUCUCUCUCUCUCU